rnacentral:misc_RNA from 1 species
UCCCGGUUAUCCCGGGCAGUUCCCUUAGGGUGCUUCCCUUGCGGGCGAGCAACUAAGGACAGGGGUUGCGCUCGUUGCGGGACUUAACCCAACACCUCACGGCACGAGCUGACGACAGCCAUACAGCACCUGUGCUAGCUCCCCUUUCAGGGUUCUACUACUUGCAUGUCAAGGCCAGGUAAGGUUCUUCGCGUUGCAUCGAAUUAAGCCACAUACUCCACCGCUUGUGCAGGCCCCCGUCAAUUUCUUUGAGUUUUAAUCUUGCGACCGUACUUCCCAGGCGGCUUGCUUAACGCGUUAGCUCCGCCACAAGAGGGGUCGAUUCCUCUUACAGCAAGCAAGCACCGUUUAGGGCUAGGACUAC